ensembl:lncRNA
GCCUCUCCGCCCCGCCGCCAUGUGGGAGCUUCGGCCGCUCCUCCUCGGCCUCGAGGUCGGCGGCUGCGGAGCGCCUCGGUUCCGAAGCGCGGUCUGAAAGGGCUCCCCAGGCGGCGGCUGUGCCGUUAUAGGAAGAAAGUGAGCAUGGAGUGUGUUAUCCCGAGCACCACUGCGAUGCUGGGCUGAGGAGUUCGUGAGGCUUCGUUCUUCCAGAGGACCGUUAGUGAACUGAUUACUGAAAAUGAAGUAAAUGGAGCUACAUUUACUGAAGACUCAAGUGAAACUCCAUGGAAAUUCUCCAAGGAUCGUUACUUUGUCAUGCUCAUUAGAACUUGAGAUGAAACCUAUUGAGGUGCCUUAACAUCAUCUCCGAACACCAGGUGCUUUGGCAUUUCAGAUGUCACAUGGGUCAGGACAAAAUAGCAUUUCUAAUUGUCAGCUACAGAAUUGGACACAAAACUGUGAGAGGAGGAGGGAAAUCCCCGUAGAGAGAAUUCAAGGUUAUCACUCUGCUUCUGACAGAAUUGAAAAGCUAACUGACUGACAUGAAAGACCCAGCUUCUUCUACAGUAAUGUUCUGUAAUGGAAAGGCACUGAAGUCGUUCUGCCUUUUGUCCCAGAUCUCUCAUCUCUCAUGUAUUCUUUUCUUUCUCUGUCACAAGGUGGGUACGUUACGUUCUGUUCUGUGAAUUCUAGCUCUGAAUCCAAGUGUGUAUCUCAGGUGUGAUGACUUCAAAAAUAUGUUUAGCAUACAUAAUUGUGUGUGCUGCAUCUGAUACACACAUGCUGUAAUGUAACGGACUAAUAUAGACAUGUUUGUUGUUUAUGUACCCGUACCACGGAAAGAGAAAAAGAUGUUCUCAUGCCAUCAUAGCAGUGAGGCACCUGGUGGAAGGACACAGUUUCUCUGCCAGCAACAGGGAAACUAUUCACCUGCUGCUGGGCUUUCAAGUUAGCAGUCUAACUGGAUUUGGAGGGGCUAGCAUGAGUUCAUUGUCCGUAGGAACCCACCAAAGCAGGCCCAGGAGUGGCCUAUAAAAUUAUCCAUAUGGCAGCUGUUGGAGAUGUAACAGGAGGUAACUUCUGCUCCUGUACAAAGCACCGUGACACCUGCGACAAAGUUGAUAACAUGUGCCAUAGGUCUGUGCAGCAGGCUGCGGUCCCUGCUGGAGCUGGUGCUGAUGGGCUAGGUGAGAGGAGGUGCUUCUCGCUCAGUGCUGACAGAAGCACAAUGUUUGGUUUUCUCAUAGUUACAUAUUAUUUCACAAAAUCAAAUUGAAAUAGGCUGUCAGCUUUGAGAGGAACCUUAAACAACAAAUACGCAGUUCUGAAUACGUGGAAGUAUUCAGUGUUUGUCUGUAUGUGGGCUUUAAGAUAUAUUAAUAUAUAUUCUGCAUAUCCCUAG